AUUGUCAUAUCCAAAAAACAGUUUGAGAUGAUCUGAGCUUUGCCACAUGAUGUAUUAUCCAGCUGGGUACACAAAUAAGGGAUUGACACAGCAUUAAUGGAUGGACACGGACAGCAACACAAGCAACCUAGACAGGUAGGGUUGGCAUUCAAACAAUGGCAGGCAAUAUUUUCCCAGUUGUCUGUUGUCCAGUUUUGGUGAGCCCGUGAAAACUGUAUCCUCAGUUUCCCAUCCUUAGCUGACAGGAGAGGCACCUGUUGUGGUCUUCUGCUGCUGUAGCCCAUCUGCUUCAAGACCUGAUGUCUGGUGCUACUCUGCAUACCUUGGUUGCAAUGAGUGGUUAUUUGAGUUGCUGUCAGCUUCAACUCAAAGCUUGAUCACACAGCCUUCUUUACUGCCUGGUCUCUGUCACGGUCUGUUAACAAGACGCCGACGAUUUUGCAACACUUUGUGCUGAAGCCAAUAAGUGUUGAUGCAGAGCUGGAUCGUGUUUCUAAUCGUGAGUAAUUGUUGCACAAUAUGCGAUUGGUUUAAUGUUGAAGACGUACUCUUUAACUUUUCAUUUAUUGCUCAGUAAUUAUCUUUACUGUGCAGCAUACAGCAAUUGGAACUGUUUAUUUUACAGCUCACAGUCACAAGAAGCUUGAUAAGAAGUUUGAGGACACACUUAUACUCUGAUAACAUAGUCUUUAAUAUUAACCUCAUGUAGUUGUAUGCCAUUUCUUGAUUAUAGCACUCAGUGGCAUUACUGUUGUGAAAGAAGAGAUACAGCAUCUGCAAAAAAAAAAAAAAGCUGUUGUCUUAGCACAGAGAUCACAGUGUGCAUGUUAGCACAUGUAAACUGAAGGGUGAGCUCUUUUCCCUGGAACGGUUUAUAGAUGUGUGUUGAAACUGGCUCGCGGACAUGACACAUAACAACAGCAGCAGCA